UAUGGCCUAUGAUGGAAUGUUAUAUAUGCCUACAUUGUCUGAUCAUAUUAACUUGAUUGAGCAAUAAUGUUGUCUGAGGCCUUG
rfam:Capsicum annuum cultivar Zunla-1 chromosome 6, whole genome shotgun sequence